rnacentral:rRNA from 1 species
UACGUAGGGGGCAAGCGUUGUUCGGAAUUACUGGGCGUAAAGCGCGCGUAGGCGGAUCUGCAAGUCGGGGGUGAAAUCCCGAGGCUCAACCUCGGAACUGCCUUCGAUACUGCGGGUCUCGAGUCCGGGAGAGGUGAGUGGAAUUCCUAGUGUAGAGGUGAAAUUCGUAGAUAUUAGGAAGAACACCAGUGGCGAAGGCGGCUCACUGGCCCGGUACUGACGCUGAGGCGCGAAAGCGUGGGGAGCAAACAGG